rnacentral:rRNA from 1 species
CCCUACGGGGUGCAGCAGGCGAGAAAACUUUGCAAUGUGCGAAAGCACGACAAGGUUAAUCCGAGUGGUUUCUGCUAAAGAAACCUUUUGUUAGUCCUAGAAACACUGAUGAAUAAGGGGUGGGCAAGUUCUGGUGUCAGCCGCCGCGGUAAAACCAGCACCUCAAGUGGUCAGGAUGAUUAUUGGGCCUAAAGCAUCCGUAGCCGGCUAUGUAAGUUUUCGGUUAAAUCUGUGCGCUUAACGUACAGGCUGCCGGGAAUACUGCAUGGCUAGGAAGUGGGAGAGGUAGACGGUACUCGGUAGGAAGGGGUAAAAUCCUUUGAUCUAUUGAUGACCACCUGUGGCGAAGGCGGUCUACCAGAACACGUUCGACGGUGAGGGAUGAAAGCUGGGGGAGCAAACCGGAUUAGAUACCCGGGUAGUCCCAGCUGUAAACUAUGCAAACUCAAUGAUGCAUUGGCUUGUGGCCAAUGCAGUGUUGCAGGGAAGCCGUUAAGUUUGCCGCCUGGGAAGUACGUACGCAAGUAUGAAACUUAAAGGAAUUGGCGGGGGAGCACCACAAGGGGUGAAGCCUGCGGUUCAAUUGGAGUCAACGCCAGAAAUCUUACCCGGAGAGACAGCAGAAUGAAGGUCAAGCUGAAGACUUUACCAGACAAGCUGAGAAGAGGUGCAUGGCC